rnacentral:rRNA from 1 species
AUUGAACGCUGGCGGCAGGCCUAACACAUGCAAGUCGAACGGCAGCGGGGGGUAGCUUGCUACCCCGCCGGCGAGUGGCGGACGGGUGAGUAAUGCCUGGGGAGCUGCCCAAUCGAGGGGGAUACCAGUUGGAAACGACUGCUAAUACCGCAUACGCCCUGAGGGGGAAAGGUGGGGAUCUUCGGACCUACCGCGAUUGGAUGCACCCAGGUGGGAUUAGCUAGUUGGUGAGGUAACGGCUCACCAAGGCGACGAUCUCUAGCUGGUCUGAGAGGAUGACCAGCCACACUGGAACUGAGACACGGUCCAGACUCCUACGGGAGGCAGCAGUGGGGAAUAUUGAACAAUGGGGGAAACCCUGAUGCAGCCAUGCCGCGUGUGUGAAGAAGGCCUUCGGGUUGUAAAGCACUUUCAGCGAGGAGGAAAGGUUGGCAGCUAAUACCUGUCAGCUGUGACGUUACUCGCAGAAGAAGCACCGGCUAACUCCGUGCCAGCAGCCGCCGUAA